rnacentral:tRNA from 1 species
GUUUGCGUGUCCGAGAGGUUUAAGGUGUCACCCUGCUAAGGUGAUGUGCGAGAAAUUGCACCGAAGGUUCGAAUCCUUCCGCAAACG